ACGCGGCAUCAGGCAGAUAUGUGGGAUUAGUGAAGGGCGACGAAGGCUCAGGACUUCAAGUUCAGUGGGGGAAAGAGAUGCCACUGCUGAGUCACCCAGCAACAGCAAACUCACCAGUUGGAAGAAAGAAAAGAGAGAGAGAGAGUACAAGGCGUCGAAAACUGCAAGAAGCCACGAGCCCGUCCGCGCCAGCGUCGAGCGCGCGACGCCAACGCUGGUCGGCCUGGCCCUUGUCCCUUGUCCCAGCGCGGCAACGGCGAGCUCGCCCUUGCCUGAAGCGUGUGGCGGUUCCACCAAUCCACCUGUGCGCGCCUGCGCCGGCCUGGCCGACCGGCGGCGGGUCUGCGGGGGCAUCAGAUGGCACGCCAUACCCCGCGGCGAGCUGGUCGCGUCGCUCGGCGCCGAGGACGACGCGGCGUACAUGGUCGGACACAUCGCCGAUGGCGGCCUGCCGCGCCGGCGCUGUACGACCUCAGGGUGCUCUCGGAGAGGGAGGUGACCUAAUCCCCGGCGCGCGGCGGCUCUCCGGCGAGCCCGGCGGCGUCCCCGCGACGACCGGGGUGGACGGUACUCAGAAACACCGACCGGGGGUGGACGGUGUUUCAAAUACCGUCCACCCCUGUACUGUCCUAGCCGUUGGAUCGGACACGUUCGGCCCAGAUCGGGCGAGGACUCGGUAGGCCUUGUCACUUGUCAGGCCGGCGCGGCCGUGCGGGAGCUGGAUGCCGCCAGCGCCAUGGCGGAGGCCCAGCCCGUCGCCUCGCACCUCUGGGACGUGGUGGAGCACCCCCGCGGGUUCGUCGGCCGAGGACGCGGGGAUCGACGUCGCCGCUUCCUUCGAAGGCGACCUCGGCGCCGCCAGCGCGGGCUUCCUACCGUCUGAGUUCCAUCGCGGCGCAGGAUCGGAAUCGGAGUGGACGGCGGAUGGUGGAGAGACAGAGCCACGUACACGGGUCUGUAUUGAAUCCAUGAGCUGGCUGCUGAGGUCAAGCAGCUCAUCAGCGUGAUGGAGAUCGUGACGAUGAGGUCGAUGCGGCUCGGCGACCGCGGACAGCGCCUGCGGGUUGGCAUGUUGAGGCCGAUAAGUUGUGAUGAACACCGAGCGUCGUGGGCUUGUGGCAGUGUUGUGUUUCUUCAGAUAAUUCAGAGCGCGCUCCGUAGUUGACGCCCAGGAAGUGCGCGGUCGGUGGUGUCGCGGUGGCUGUGGUGGUGGCGGCGAGCACGAGGAGGUGGAGCGAGAGGCGCGGCGACAUUGCCAUGGCUGAGGCGUGGUGCGAGUACUGCCGGACAAUAUGUGACUGAUGGACUGAUGCAAGAUCAUGGGGUCGAAGUAGGUCGUUGAGAACUUGUGCCUCACUCUGUUCGGCUGGCUGUGGCUGGUGCUGAUUUGUUGUGAGAGAAAAGUACUGUUGGCUGGCUCGUGCUGGUGGCUGGUGCUGAUUUAGUGUGAAAGAAAAACACUGUUAGCUAAUUGCAGCAGAACAGAGUGACGACUCAACCGAGCCUCAACUCUGUAGAGGCCAAGUACCCAAGUCUGACAGACAACACAACAUCAUAUUCGGAGUAUACUCAUUAUCUUAUUUGAAUUGAUAACAUACUCCCUCCAUCCUCGAAUGUAAGAUAUCGAAGAGUUCAAAAUUUGUACCCGAAUAUAAAGUAUUCCAGGAGUUUUAGACAAA